AAUGGUGCUCAGUUUCUCACGGGAACCUGGGCGAAACAUUAUAAGCUGUCACUAUUUUCUCGCUCUGGAUCCCACCUGUAAACUGGCGGAGGGACACAACAACAUAUAAACAGCCUCAUUACCACGAGCGAUCAAUACCACAGACGAGCUGUGCUCAGAGGGCCGUGGACAUGAGCCGAGGGCCAACGAUCUACAUGAGAAACUUGUUCCAUGCAAUUUGAUUGAAUCCAGCUGAGCAACUCAGUUCCAUCAAGGUUUGCACAAUCAUCAUCAUCAGCAUUGUUCCAUAUGGGUUUGGUGACGGGGCAACAGUAAAAAAAAAAAAAAAAAAAAAAAAAAAAAAAAAAGCAACUUAUUGCAUGGAAAAUGCACAGUAUAAGAUCAGCCUCAGAGGAAAAAGAAGCUUGUGUGGAGCAUCUUCCCCUCUGGAAGAUGUAGAUUAUUCUGAAUCUGAGCUCCGUGUCCUGAUAAUGUGAUAAUGUGGACCUUCAGCCAGACCCAGGACCAGCGCAUCGGCAGCCUGCAGGAGAAGUAUGCAUGUUGAAACUGAAUGGUCUUUUUGCCAAAAAGGAAUGAGCCACCCUGAAUUGCUGCCGGUGUCAUGGGGAUGGCACAGAUCACGUGCAAGAAAUAAAGCCAUAUUUUGAGCUUUUCACCCCAGACAACAUCCAGAAAAUCACUCUGAACUGCACUAAUGUGGAAGGAGGUUGUGUUUUUGGAGAAAGGUGGACGGAAGAUGGACCAAACACAUUUCCAGGUAUACUUUGGGGUUCUUAUUCUUGCUUAUGUUUUCACAGAAUUCCUGUGGGAUGCAGGGAAUGACAGAGAAAUUUUCCAUGCAGCAAUGUCUCACAUUAUUUCCAGGAUUAUCUGCUUUGAUAAGCGAGAUGCCAAAGUUCGGUGGCAGAUGCAACCAGGUCAGUGUGGGAUGAGUGUAUUGAAACACGCUCCCCUCUUUUACAACCCUGGGCCCAACAUUACUGUUGAUGGGGAGCAUCUGCCAUUUAAGAACUAAGGUGCCCUUUCAGCAGUAUCUGAACCUGCAAAAUGUGAUAUCAACAUCUGGGCUGCCUGUGAUGCUGCCUUAUCAUAUGCAUGGAACUUGAAAGUUUGUAUGGCAUCCAGCAUCAAAGCACAAGCCGGGACAGGAGUACCUCAAGAGAAACAAUCCGAAAACCAAGCCAGAGCUCCCAUUUCAGCUGUUGACCAGGAGAAACAGGCCUGUGAACUCAUUCAAGUGUCCCCGGUCUCCCACGUGCCAAAGAAAGGCACAAAUGUGGUGCACAUGAGUAUGGAGCAUUAGGAUCAGAGAAUCUGUGGCCAGGAGCAUCAAAAAAUAGAGAUCAUAAUGAAGUACAAUGCCACAAAAUGAGGGCUGGACAGUUUGGACAAGCAGAAGAAGAACCAUGCGCUUGCCAUUUAUGAUGUUUGUCAACUUGCUGGACAUCUCAGCAUACAACACCUUUGCCAUCUGGAUUGCGCUGAAUCCAGAGUGUCAGAGAGGGAAGCUGCAGAGGAGACGGGCUCUUUCUUGAGGAGCAUUGGUGAGAGCUCAGAUCCGGAGGAGAUGGGACGUGCCAUGGAGCUUUGUAGGCUUCCUGAGGAGGAUUCAGGAGGGGGGAUGCUGCUGCCCCAUCUGCCCGACCAGCAAGACCACCAACUCCAGUCCCAGAAUCAGUUUGCAGAAGAAUCGCUGCAAUGUGUGUGGAUGCAGGAAAGACAGGAAGACACAGUGCAUGUGCAUGAGGACCAUCUCGCCAAAAUGUUUUACAAAUGACAUGCUACAAUCCCCAUGGCCCUGGUGGAAUUCUGUCCACUUCAGGGCUACAAAGCUGCAAAGAACUCACUGGAUGGUCUGGCCAAUAAGUGGAGGGGGGUGGACCCUGCCUGCCUUGACCUCACCGACCUCCCCCACCCCCAGUGUCCUGCUCCUCAUUCCCAUUCCACUUCAGCCAGCCAGCCAGCCAGCCAGCCAGCCAGCCAGGCAGCCAGUUAGUCAGUAGGUCAAUCCGUCUUGUGGUUUAUUCACGUCUGUUUGAAUGUCUGUCCGUCUGCACGCCCGUCUGUCUGUCCGCCUGUCUCCUCCAGCCACCGCCUUUUACCUCAGCGCAGUCAGCAAGCUGGAGAAUCAAAUAUUGCAGAGGUUGAGAAAUAUUUUAAAGUGAAAACGAUCGCUGUAUUGAUGACAUUUUCUCUUUCAGCUGGCUAUGAAAGGGAGGUUACAGACAAAUAUUCAAAGAGUGUGAUUACAUUUUACCACAUAAUGUCACUCCCUUCAAAAAUGACUUGCAUUGUAUUCUAUUUAAUGGCCAUUCUAUGCUCGGCCAUAUUAAUUUUAAUUGAAUUUAAAGGUAUUUAUCCUAAAUUUGUCUUCAUGAUAAACCCUAAAAUCUUCCACAGGGUGAAAUACGUUAUUACUGGGCUACUAUAAUUGAUCAAAGGCCCAGAGGAAAGAGCCCAGCCUUUCUGAACGCUAUUCCUAUUCUGCACCAGCCGCCGUGCAAACUCUUGACUCAGCACCUUUGGUCUGUCAUUGAGGCCGCCAUUUUUCCAUGGAGGCUGCAGAGGUUUCUACAUGGUGGCCUGCAGGAAUCAAUGGCACAUCUCACUGAGAGCAGGGCGUUCAUUUGAACCGACCUCCUGAUCAAUGAGGAGAAUGAUUUUUUGGUGUGUGUGUGAAUCAGACGUGCAUCUUUUUGGAUCCCUCAGAAGGUUGAGUGUGAAAAAACAUGAACUCUGGAGCUUUGCAUUUUGCGUUCCUUUUGGCAAAUGAAGCUGUGAAAGCACUAUAAUGUUCUCAAAACCGGUUCACCUGAACAACAGGCUUAUAAUUUGUUUUUGAAAUAGCAUGAAUUGAUGAAGUAUUGAGCACACACCAGCUGUGGCUCAACGGUGCUUCUGAGUGAUAAAUUUGAGCAGCGAUACAGAGGCCAAUCAUGUUGCUCUGGCUUCAGUGUUUUCGGUGCCGUGGACUCUGUCGCCAUCUGCUGGAUGUUUGUGGAGAUGGCAGCUGAGAUAUGAACACCUGUGUUGUUUCACUUCUGCACGAGGCAAAAAUAAAAAGGUUUGCUCCAAAAACAGCAGAAUAAUAGCCUUUAAGUGAUCAAAAAUGCAGACAAUCUAUCCCUGAAUUUCCAGAUUUUUAUGCUUAAAUGUUCUGAUAAUGGAUUAAUCUGUAGCUUGCUGUGUUAGACUUUUUUUUUUUUUAUUUCAGUGUUUACCAUUUUGAUGCUAUAUUUUGUGGCUUUCCUGUCUUUUAAAGGAAAUGCCUGUUUUUUUUCUCUCUCUGGAAAGUAUAAAUAGUCCCAAAAAUUGUGUUCCCUUUUCAUUUUCACUUUAUUUCUUUAUUUUUAUUACACAAAAGGUAGUUGGCAAAAGGAAGUAUAAAUGAUGAGUCCAACAUUUUUCAUUCGGUUUCACUCAUAUGUGUACCCAUUAAUGCAAUUUUUGUGUUUUUGUCAUAUCCUGACCAGUUUUUGUACUUAACUGUCAAUUUCUGUGGUUGUUAAUAGUGCAUUUUCAUGGUGAUAGGCAAGAAUGAGAAUAAAAUCUAAAUCCUCUUCUCUAGAAAGUUCUCAGAUGACCAUGAUGAGAGCAGCACAGUUAGCUUUGGAAUAUUUACAGAAUAUGCCCCGUCUUAUUUUUUUUAUCUGCUGUUAUGUUUAUAAUACAUGCAUUAGUUUUAUCUGCUGCAAAACCCUGUGAGACCAGCAGCCGUGACAUUCCUGUUAGCCAUCUAGAAGGUAUUCAGUGUUUGAUGGCUUUAUCGCUGAUGAAUCGGAGGCUGUUACACUCAGUCCAUUAAAUCCAAGGUUAAAGAACAACAAAAUAAAGGCGCACACUAAACUACCGACGAGGCAAGUUUGAUUCUGGUCUGAACUAUUUGAAGCCAAAGAACAGCUCCAGUUCUGCUUGUUAAAUAAUUCUAAAGGAUCAGACCUGUCCUUUUGUCAUUUGGGGAAAGGUAAUCAUGCCUUUAUUUAUUUUCAUAUUGUACCUUUCUUUACUCUUGUAACCCAUUUAACAGCGCAUGAGCUGACCUGACUCUUAACAGAAGUCACUUUAAUGCUACAUUGCAGCCACCUCACAUGGCCUGCAGGUGAUUUUGGAGUUGAAUUCUAAAUUAUAAGUGCAGAUUCUCUCAAAGCAAAAUUGUUUUUUUUUUUUUUCACAUGACCACAUAGUAAUAUUUGCUAGGAUUAACUCCUUGGGAGUGUAUGUGAGUGACAAGUGAUUUCAUAAAGGGAUUUAUUUGAAGACCUAACUCAAUUAACAGUGGGGUCCAAAUAUCUGACCUCAAUAGGCAAAGCCUUUUGUAUUAUUUAUUACAAGUUAACAAGGGGUGAGAGCUAAUAAGCUAUGCUUCUUCUCACUCCUUUUAGAAUAUGUCAUUUAUUUUCUUUUUUUUUUCUUUUAUUAGUAUUUUGCUUCCUCAAUUUUCAUUUCUAUAUUAUGUUGUGCAAAGAAUUUGUUUAGUAGCAAUCAGGAAGCCUUGUAUUAUUUAUACUAUUUGCAU